rnacentral:lncRNA from 1 species
CACCUUGCUGUGCACACCCAGCCCUCAGCCAGUGCCCAUGUAGAGCGCAAGGACAGAGGAGACGUGGCUUCUCUGCACAAGGGUCAUGCUCAGCCUGUAAGAGGAGGAAACUCUAAGAUACCCAGGACUAACCCUGACCAAGGAGGAAGAGAACUCCACAAUGAAGAUGACAGAUUGCUUUCUCAAGGGGCAGUGGAGAACUCAGUCCUGCACUCUGGCAGAGAAGACAGGCAGCACUCCAGACAACAGACAGCAGGAAGGACAAGAAGGGAGCUCUUCGGCCUGGAGAACCGCGUGCUGGCUGAAAAGGUAAGGAAAGCAGCCCAAUCCAAUGCUGGGGGCCCUUUCAGGAGUAGAUCAACAUCUCAGCUUUCCUGCAGCAGACACACACAGCUGCCGCUGGCCACUCUGCUUGUGUCCAUCCUGGAGAGGCACACACCGAACUCAAGGGCAAGGAAUGCAAGCAAGAGCCACGAGCUGCUGUCCUCACAGGCAGCAGAAGCUGGCUGUUCUGCUCCGGGUCAAUGCUCUGAGCAUUGUGGAAUCUGUGCAGACAGGAAGCUACGUGGCUGUAGACGCACGUCCUCCGUCAAGUCAGGGGAAGCAGGACUCAGAGGACAAUGGGCACAGGGCAAAGGCAGAG